rnacentral:sRNA from 1 species
UCGUCAACUUGUUGUGGGCAAAUAUAGUGCACGUGGGUAUCAACGCCACCGGCGGUCAAAAUUUGACCUUCACCGGCAAUAAUUUCGGUACCUGGGCCAAUAAUAAUGUCUAUAUCGGGCUGCGUGUCAGGGUUGCCAGAUUUGCCAAUAGCAGCAAUGCGGCCAUUUUUUAAACCUACGUCGGCUUUAAUAAUGCCCCACCAGUCGAUAAUCACUGCGUUAGUGAUAACCGUGUCCAUAACGGCGUCAUCACAGCGUUGGCUUUGUCCCAUGCCAUCACGA